rnacentral:misc_RNA from 1 species
UCCGGCUUAUGCCGGCAGUCCCACUAGAGUGCCAAACUUAAUUGGGGCAACUAGUAGUAAGGGUUGCGCUCGUUGCGUCACUUAAGACAACAUCUCACGACACGAGCUGACGACAGCCAUGCAGCACCUGUGUCUAGGUUCCUAAAAGGCACUAACUUAUCUCUAAGUCAUUCCUAGCAUGUCAAGAGCAGGUAAGGUUCUUCGCGUUGCAUCGAAUUAAUCCACAUCAUCCACCGCUUGUGCGGGUCCCCGUCAAUUCCUUUGAGUUUUAAUCUUGCGACCGUACUCCCCAGGCGGUCUACUUCUCGCGUUAGCUUCGCUACUGAGGUUGCCCCCAACAGCAAGUAGACAUCGUUUAGGGCGUGGACUAC